rnacentral:rRNA from 1 species
UACGUAGGGUCCGAGCGUUGUCCGGAGUUACUGGGCGUAAAGCGCGCGCAGGCGGCGGUGUUGGCCCGGCGUGAAAGCCCCCGGCUCAACCGGGGAGAGUCGUCGGGGACCGCACCGCUUGAGGGCGGUAGGGGCUGGUGGAAUGCCUGGUGUAGUGGUGAAAUGCGUAGAGAUCAGGCAGAACACCUGGGGCGAAGGCGGCCAGCUGGGCCGUCCCUGACGCUGAGGCGCGAAAGCUAGGGGAGCAAACGGG